UGCAGUCGACGAUGAAGCCCAGCUUGCUGGGUGGAUUAGUGGCGAACGGGUGAGUAACACGUGAGUAACCUGCCCUUAACUCUGGGAUAAGCCUGGGAAACUGGGUCUAAUACCGGAUAGGAGCGUCCACCGCAUGGUGGGUGUUGGAAAGAUUUAUCGGUUUUGGAUGGACUCGCGGCCUAUCAGCUUGUUGGUGAGGUAAUGGCUCACCAAGGCGACGACGGGUAGCCGGCCUGAGAGGGUGACCGGCCACACUGGGACUGAGACACGGCCCAGACUCCUACGGGAGGCAGCAGUGGGGAAUAUUGCACAAUGGGCGAAAGCCUGAUGCAGCGACGCCGCGUGAGGGAUGACGGCCUUCGGGUUGUAAACCUCUUUCAGUAGGGAAGAAGCGAAAGUGACGGUACCUGCAGAAGAAGCACCGGCUAACUACGUGCCAGCAGCCGCGGUAAUACGUAGGGUGCGAGCGUUAUCCGGAAUUAUUGGGCGUAAAGAGCUCGUAGGCGGUUUGUCGCGUCUGUCGUGAAAGUCCGGGGCUUAACCCCGGAUCUGCGGUGGGUACGGGCAGACUAGAGUGCAGUAGGGGAGACUGGAAUUCCUGGUGUAGCGGUGGAAUGCGCAGAUAUCAGGAGGAACACCGAUGGCGAAGGCAGGUCUCUGGGCUGUAACUGACGCUGAGGAGCGAAAGCAUGGGGAGCGAACAGGAUUAGAUACCCUGGUAGUCCAUGCCGUAAACGUUGGGCACUAGGUGUGGGGACCAUUCCACGGUUUCCGCGCCGCAGCUAACGCAUUAAGUGCCCCGCCUGGGGAGUACGGCCGCAAGGCUAAAACUCAAAGGAAUUGACGGGGGGCCCGCACAAGCGGCGGAGCAUGCGGAUUAAUUCGAUGCAACGCGAAGAACCUUACCAAGGCUUGACAUGUUCUCCGAUCGCCGUA
rnacentral:rRNA from 1 species